rfam:Octopus bimaculoides Scaffold81845_contig_31, whole genome shotgun sequence.
GGCAGUUUAGUUUAAUGGUAAAGCAUUCAGCUGAAGUCUUUGAAGGAUAUGGGUUCAUGUCCCAUGGCUGGUU